CGGACGGCUGAGUAACGCGUAGGUGACCUGCCCCGAAGUGGGGAAUAACUGCCCGAAAGGGUGGCUAAUACCGCAUGUGGUGGUGCGUUCAAUCGCACCAGUAAAGCCGCAAGGCGCUUCGGGAGGGGCCUGCGUCCGAUUAGCUCGUUGGUGGGGUAACGGCUCACCAAGGCGACGAUCGGUAGGUGGUCUGAGAGGACGAUCACCCAGACUGGGACUGAGACACGGCCCAG
rnacentral:rRNA from 1 species